UAAGCCUCGCACAGGGAGGCCGCGGUCCUUGUUCCAGAGACGGGAGCAGCCGUGGAUGUGCAGGUGGCCGCGUUCUGUGUCUCAGGCCGAGUGUGGCCUCCUGGGCAGUGUGACGUCACCUGUGGGCGUGGCUGCCGGGAGAUGCACCCGCCAGCUGACCCCAGCUUUUCCUUUCUUUUUUCUAGCCUCUUAGGCAGUCCUGGCCAGCUGCACAGGUAGGAGUGCAGGCUCUGGGCCUCUGCGCUGAGGCUGCUCUGUCCGGUCACCGCCAGCUGUCCAGAGACAAGGCCCCUUCCACCCUGCGCUGUCCAUUCUCCAGGGGCAGAGAAUCUUCUUUGGCUUCCAGGGUUUCACACCCACCUCGCUCUCAGAGCACUGCAGCUCCUGGGGCGUCUGUCGCCUGUCCGCUCUGCAGGGUGAGGGCCACAGCGGCGUGCUCCCCGCUCUGCGGGGCCCAGGUCUGAGGUUGUGGGCAGGUGGAGAACGGCAGGGCGACAGUGAGGACCUGGAAAGCCUGACCCCGGGGGCGGCUGUCGAAGCUACAGCUCUGCUGCAGCAGGCGGGCGCAUACCGGAGCGCCGGCGGGAGGGUCUUUAUCUGUCCGGUGUCAUGGCUUUGUUUGCGUAUUUCCUGUGUGCUGUUGCCGAAGCGGGGUGCACCAGGGGUGGAUCAGAGAGAUGCUUGUCAUGGGGGUGCCCGUCACAGAGCACUCCUGUGACCUUGACGGUGCCUGCCUUGUCUCUCGCUUGUUUAUGGAAGCACAGCACAGCAGAGGAGGCCGUCCGGAGGGGACCCAGUGUGACCCUCACGCCUGCUUGUCAUCGCCCUCAGAAGGGCUGUGGAUCCCGUGUUCCCGGGUCAGCGGCCACGUGCACUCCCAGGACUGCUUCAGGGGCUGCAGCUGUGCCUCAAUUCAGCUCAUGGCGCCAGCACCUUCAGGCAGCUAGGUGCAGAGGCCCCAGCAGAGAACUGAUUUGGUCCGCGGAGGUAACACAGAGAGUGGUUACUUCUGGAGCAUCCCCAGGACUGAGGAGCAUAAAUGAGAACAAAACUCCAAUCUGGACAGAUCCAGGAGUUCCCCAGAGACCACAGGGGUGUCCCCAGGACCCCACAACCCCCUCCCAGGACAAGGACCCGGAGGCCUCUGGGGUCUGCAGGCAGCGCCUGUGUGCGGCAGCCUUGGGACCCUGUGCGGAUGAACUGGACAAGUGCAGAUGCCAGCUGUGGUGAGGGCUCUAGAAGCCCUGUGAGUCUGCUGAGGAUUUUCACCCUGAGCAGUGUGGACAAAGCAGCCAUUUCAAAAGGAAGAGCUCUAAACCCUCAGCUGAUGUCCAGUGUGCUCAUGGGCCACGCCAUUUACUUUCCCCCUGUGGUGCAGCCCCCCACCAUAUCGGAGGACCGGGUGCCACCCUGAAGCUGUGACCGUGACUCCAGGGUGGGGUGGACCACUGCUUCCGGUCACUGCCCUGGCCACUUCCGUGAGAACCACUUCUGACUCUGGCUGGACAGGCCAGCCACCAUGGCGCCUGCCGGCAGCUCUGCUGGACCCUGGGAACCUGCGAGUGCCAUGCACAACAUGGCAUUUCAGAUAAAAUUAACAAAA